AACACGUGGACAACCUACCCUCCGGACGGGUAUAAACCCGGGAAACUGGGUAUAAUCCCCGAUAGAUCUCGGUCGCUGGAAAGCCCCGAGAUCGAAAGCUCCGGCGCCAGAGGAUGGGUCUGCGGCCUAUCAGGUAGUAGUGGGUGUAGCGUACCUACUAGCCUACGACGGGUACGGGUUGUGAGAGCAAGAGCCCGGAGAUGGAUUCUGAGACACGAAUCCAGGCCCUACGGGGUGCAGCAGGCGCGAAAACUUUACAAUGCCGGCAACGGCGAUAAGGGGACCUCGAGUGCCAGGUUACAAAUCUGGCUGUCGUGAUGCCUAAAAAGCAUUGCAUAGCAAGGGCCGGGCAAGACCGGUGCCAGCCGCCGCGGUAACACCGGCGGCUCGAGUGGUAACCGUUAUUAUUGGGUCUAAAGGGUCUGUAGCCGGCCGGAUAAGUCUCUUGAGAAAUCCAGCAGCUCAACUGUUGGGCUUUCAGGAGAUACUGUCUGGCUCGAGGCCGGGAGAGGUGAGAGGUACUUCAGGGGUAGGGGUGAAAUCUUGUAAUCCUUGAAGGACCACCAGUGGCGAAGGCGUCUCACCAGAACGGACCUGACGGCAAGGGACGAAAGCUAGGGGCACGAACCGGAUUAGAUACCCGGGUAGUCCUAGCCGUAAACGAUACUCGCUAGGUGUCGGCCACGGUGCGACCGUUGUCGGUGCUGUAGGGAAGCCGUGAAGCGAGCCACCUGGGAAGUACGGCCGCAAGGCUGAAACUUAAAGGAAUUGGCGGGGGAGCACCACAACGGGUGGAGCUUGCGGUUUAAUUGGAUUCAACGCCGGA
rnacentral:rRNA from 1 species